rnacentral:rRNA from 1 species
UACAGAGGAUGCAAGCGUUAUCCGGAAUGAUUGGGCGUAAAGCGUCUGUAGGUGGCUUUUUAAGUCCGCCGUCAAAUCCCAGGGCUCAACUCUGGACAGGCGGUGGAAACUACCAAGCUGGAGUAUGGUAGGGGCAGAGGGAAUUUCCGGUGGACCGGUGAAAUGCGUAGAGAUCGGAAAAAACACCAACGGCGAAAGCACUCUGUUGGGCCGACACUGACACUGAGAGACGAAAGCUAGGGGAGUGAAUGGC